rnacentral:lncRNA from 1 species
AAUGAUGAUUUCAUACAAAGGACAGAGAACACACAGUUGGCUGUCUAGUGUACCGGUGGCUGUUCUUUGGAAGAAUUCUCAUAUGUGUCGAGGGAAGAAUCACUAUUAAAUGAAGCAUUUUGGCUCCUCUCUCCGGUCCGUGCCUCCAAGAUGACAAAGAAAAGAAGGAACAAUGGUCGUGCCAAAAAGGGCCGCGGCCACGUGCAGCCUAUUCGCUGCACUAACUGUGCCCGAUGCGUGCCCAAGGACAAGGCCAUUAAGAAAUUCGUCAUUCGAAACAUAGU